rnacentral:rRNA from 1 species
UACAUGGGGUGCAAACGUUGCUCGGAAUCAUUGGGCGUAAAGCGCGCGUAGGCGGUUACUUAAGUCGAAUGUGAAAGCCCUCGGCUUAACUGAGGAAGUGCAUCCGAAACUGAGUAGCUAGAGUACGAAAGAGGGUCGCGGAAUUCCCGGUGUAGAGGUGAAAUUCGUAGAUAUCGGGAGGAACACCGGUGGCGAAGGCGGCGACCUGGGUCGAGACUGACGCUGAGGCGCGAAGCGUGGGAGCGAAACAGG